ACAGUUUGAAUCAACCACUGAAGUCAUCAUUUUCCUCAGACGGUUUACUGCUGCUAAAGCAACGUGAGCUCAGCUCCUUUACAUGGAUGAGCAAGAUACCUGUUGAGUCUUCAUCUGCUGUAACAAGUUUUCAGGGCAAACUGAACUAGAAACAAGCUUAAAAAUCUAAAAGACACUUACUCAACACUGGAGCACAAAGAACAGGUAACUGUGUUACAGCAGCUGCAGAGUCUGCUACAGUUCUGGCAGACAAACUGGUCGCACUGUGUACAUGCCUCCUUGACAUCAGCCGUUCUUACACACGAUGAACAGGCUUUGGAGACUCCUACAGGUGGAACUGCUUGGAAGAGAUGCAAUAAGAAGGGAUGAACUUUACAGCAAACCAGAGAAAACGCCUGCAAGUUCCAAGACCGCUCAGCACUACAGCUACAGGCGGCAGCACUUCGCAGAACAACAGGCAGCAGCACAGGGCUCGCUGUUUACAACUUUGCUGGCUCUUUCUCUGCUCAGUGAU